AAACGGUGUGCCUGGGGCACAUGUAAUACUGACAGUCUGUACCUGGAGAGAUAAGAGAGUGGUGUCUUUUUUUAUACCCUUUCCAAAACCCAAAUCUAACGGAGAGAAGUGAAGGUUGUGGAUAAAGCUUUGUGGUCAUUCACAGUUGAACACAAGCAAGAUAACGAAGGACACAUACUUUUGCUCCAAGAUCAUCAAGGAUAUCAACUACCUGAGCCACUGCUUGUUCACCCCGGUAUCAUCCAGAAGGCGAGGACCGACGCCUGGGAUGAGAAGCAGGUACGGGGAGUCAAGCACUUUAUCAGGAACAGACAAAACAAGACAGGAACAGAGCCAGCACAUGGGUAUACAAGGACAUAUGACAAUCAAUGCAGAAGAAGGGAACAGAGCGGGGAAACAGACAGAUAUAGGGAAGGUAAUGACAAAAGGUGAUUGAGUCCAAUAAUCGCUGAUGCGCAUGACGGGGGGAAGUGCGUAAUGAUGAUAGCAGGAGUGUGGAAUGCUGGAGAGGGGAAGAGCGGGAGCAGGCGUGACAUUCUACGGUAUCUUAGUCACUUAAUGUUUACUUAUCUGGCAUUAGUAAUCUCAUAUGUAUAUAUUGUUUUCUGUACUAUUCUAUGGUUUCUCAUUCCCUUAAUAAUGUUUACAUGCCGUUGAAGUCGGAAGUUUACAUACACUUAGGUUGGAGUCAUUAAAAUUUGUUUAUCAACCACCACAAAUUUCUUGUUAACAAACUAUAGUUUUGGCACGUCGGUUAGGACAUCUACAUUGUGCAUGACACAAGUCAUUUUUCCAACAAUUGUUUACAGACAUAUUAUUUAAUUUAGAAUUCCCUGUAUCACAAUUUCAGUGGGUCAGAAGUUUACAUAAACUAAUCUGACAGUGCCUUUAAACAGCUUGGAAAAUUCCAUGAAAUUAUGUAAUGUCUUUAGAAGCUUCUGAUAGGCUAAUUGAAAUCAUUUGAGUCAAAUGGAGGUGUACCUGUGAAUGUAUUUCAAGGCCUACCUUCAAACUCAGCGCGUCUUUGCUUGACAUCAUGGGAAAAUCAAAAGAAAUCAGCCAAGACCUCAGAAAAUAAAUUGUACACCUCCACAAGUCUGGUUCAUCCUUUUGAGCAAU